rnacentral:rRNA from 1 species
UGAGUAACCUGCCCUUAACUCUGGGAUAAGCCUGGGAAACUGGGUCUAAUACCGGAUAUGACUCCUCACCGCAUGGGUGGGGGGUGGAAAGGGCUUUAUUAUGGUUUUGGAUGGACUCGCGGCCUAUCAGCUUGUUGGUGGGGUGAUGGCCUACCAAGGCGACGACGGGUAGCCGGCCUGAGAGGGCGACCGGCCACACUGGGACUGAGACACGGCCCAGACUCCGUACGGGAGGCAG